rnacentral:rRNA from 1 species
UACGUAGGGUGCAAGCGUUGUCCGGAAUUAUUGGGCGUAAAGAGCUCGUAGGCGGUCUGUCGCGUCGGCUGUGAAAACUCGGGGCUCAACCCCGAGCCUGCAGUCGAUACGGGCAGACUAGAGUGCUGUAGGGGAGACUGGAAUUCCUGGUGUAGCGGUGAAAUGCGCAGAUAUCAGGAGGAACACCGGUGGCGAAGGCGGGUCUCUGGGCCGGAACUGACGCUAAGGAGCGAAAGCGUGGGGAGCGAACAGG